UACGUAGGGGGCUAGCGUUGUCCGGAAUCAUUGGGCGUAAAGCGCGUGUAGGCGGCCCGGUAAGUCCGCUGUGAAAGUCGGGGGCUACAACGUCUCGAAAGCCGGUGGAUACUGUCGGGCUAGAGUACGGAAGAGGCGAGUGGAAUUCCUGGUGUAGCGGUGAAAUGCGCAGAUAUCAGGAGGAACACCGGUGGCGAAGGCGGAUCUCUGGGCCUGUCCUGACGCUGAGGCGCGAAAGCUAGGGGGAGCGAACAGG
rnacentral:rRNA from 1 species